ensembl:lncRNA
AAAGAAUGAUAUGUUCUGGGUCAGACACGGGCCUUCAAGUGUCUGAAGACCAUUUUCACACCACAGCUGUGAGCUCUCUCUUCUGGCUAGAUGGCCCUAAUUCCUUCGUCCGCUCCUCAGCUGACACAUUUCAGACAGUCCACUUGCCACUUCUGUUACCUCUGGAGCCUGAUGGAGACCUUCUAAGGUUGUGGCACCCAGAACGAUGGAUUCUGUACGAGAGAAGAGCAAGCACAAGUUUUAGAACCAAGUGGAUCUGGAUUCAAAUCCUGGAGCUGACUGUGUGACCUUGGACAAAUUGGCCCUGAGAUAACAUCUGUGCCAGUCUUCCUCUAUUUUGUAUGUGGGACGCCUCUGCAGCAUGGCUUGAUGAGCAGUGCAGAGGUCCACGCCCGGCUGGGAUCUGAACCGUGAACCCCAGAUCACUGAAGUGGAGCAAGCGAACUUACCCAUUACACCACCAGGCUAGCCUCGUUACAGCAGUCACUUCCAGGGGACAGGGAUGUUUUGGAAGAAAGCGCUCAAGGAGCCCUCUGGUGGACAUUCUAGGAAAAAAAGAGUUGGAGACACGAACUGGCUGUUACAACUCCCUAUUUUUAUUUUUAUAAAUUCCCUUUUUAAGGAGUUCAUCCGUGUCUGAAUAUCCUGGGAUAGUAAAGCGGGUGACCACCUUCUCGCUGUGUGCUCACAUGACCUCUCUGUGCUCUGGAAGAGAGAGAGCAAGCUCUCUGGGAUCUCUUCUCAUAAGGACGCUAAUGCUAUCGGGUCAGAUUCUCACCUUUACAGCCUCAUUUAACCUUAAUUACUUCUGUAAAGGCCCUAUCUCCAAAUACCAUACAAUGGGGGUUAGAGCUUCACCUAUGGAUUGGGGGUGGAGGGGGGGACCACAAACGUUCAGUCCAUCGCAGUUAUCGUCUCCGUCUUACAGACGAGGAAAAUAGAGCCCUGGACACACACAUUGGCAAACAAAAUAGAAGCCACCUCCACCCUUCUGAGCUUACAGUCUGGCAGGAGAGACUGAUAUUAAAUUACAAAAUUUGAUCAUCACCGUGGAGAAAAAGCAGAGAGAGUUCAGCAAGGGUAGAGCAGUGGAAUCCAGUCUAGAUUAAGGAGUCAGAGAGAGGGACUUUCCUCAGGAAGCGCGGGGCGAGCAGAGAAGGGUGUAGAGUGGAAAACCCGGAGGCAGACAGAAGCAAGGUACAUUCUAGAAACUGAAGAAGUGUGGAUAUCAUGCAGCAAGCCACAAGGGGAUGGUGACAGAGGGGGCUGGGGAGACGAGCUGGAGUCAGACCCCACAGGAGUGAGAGGUUCGACUUGGUCCCUAAGGCAAUGGGGAGCCACUGAAGGCUUUAAGGGGAGGAUACCAUGGUCAGACUUACACCUCUUUGGAGGGGAAUCUGGGUGAGAUGAGGGCGGAGUGGUGGGAGGGAAGAUCUCUUCUCCAGGGCUCCUUUCAGUGGGCACCCUGCCCUCCAGUCUGCCCCACCCUCUGCCCCCACGACGCAUAAACAUCUUGGCUCAAUUCACACAAAACUUUUCAGGAGGACAUCAAUUUUCGAAGAGUUAGGGCAGUCGCCUCUAGAGGCAAUCAUAGACAGAAGGGAAGGAGGAAAAGGCAGCAGGGACAUCUGAGUACCUACCAUGUGCUACUUCAUUUAUUCCAUUCAUUCAUUCAUUCAUUCAGGGGAGCCCCAUGAGGUGUGUGUCAGAGACAAAGCCGGGGGCUCACGGAACCCAUUUCCUCUUCCUGAGUGCUGGCACUACAUUUCCCAGACCCCUUGCAGCUAGGACGUGAGCAAUAGGCCAUGAGCAGAAGUGACGCACCCCCUCUACCAGGCCUGGCCAUAAAGCAUCCUGUCCAAUCUAUUAUGCUCUCUCUCCUGUCCUCGUGGAAGGGAGCAAAGAAGUUUAAGAGGAUGGAGGCUUGUGAUGAAAAGGGACCCAAUCCUCGAGUCCAUCAGUUGGAAGACACCUGCCCAGGAACAUCUGCAUCAGACAUGGCAUGAGAGAGAAAUACACCUUUGUUGCAUUAAG